rnacentral:rRNA from 1 species
UAAUACUGGAUAGGCAAUUAUUCCUGUAAUGGUUUUUUGUUUAAAUGUUUUUUCGCCUAAGGAUGGGUCUGCGGCCGAUUAGGUAGUUGGUUAGGUAAUGGCUUACCAAGCCUUUGAUCGGUACGGGUUGUGAGAGCAAGAGCCCGGAGAUGGAGCCUGAGACAAGGUUCCAGGCCCUACGGGGUGCAGCAGGCGCGAAACCUCCGCAAUGUGAGAAAUCGCGACGGGGGGAUCCCAAGUGCCAUUCUUAACGGGAUGGCUUUUCUUUAGUGUAAAAAGCUUUUGGAAUAAGAGCUGGGCAAGACCGGUGCCAGCCGCCGCGGUAACACCGGCAGCUCUAGUGGUAGCAAUUUUUAUUGGGCCUAAAGCGUCCGUAGCCGGUUUAAUAAGUCUCUGGUGAAAUCCUGUAGCUUAACUGUGGGAAUUGCUGGAGAUACUAUUAGACUUGAGACCGGGAGAGGUUAGAGGUACUCCCAGGGUAGAGGUGAAAUUCUGUAAUCCUGGGAGGACCGCCUGUGGCGAAGGCGUCUAACUGGAACGGUUCUGACGGUGAGGGACGAAAGUUAGGGGCGCGAACCGGAUUAGAUACCCGGGUAGUCCUAACUGUAAACGAUGCGGACUUGGUGUUG